UACGGAGGGGGCAAGCGUUAUCCGGAUUCACUGGGCUUAAAGGGUGCGUAGGCGGGCUGGUAAGUCCGUGGUGAAAUCUCCGAGCUUAACUCGGAAACUGCCAUGGAUACUAUUUGUCUUGAAUGUUGUGGAGGUGAGCGGAAUAUGUCAUGUAGCGGUGAAAUGCUUAGAUAUGACAUAGAACACCGAUAGCGAAGGCAGCUUACUAGACUGUAACUGACGCUGAGGCACGAAAGUGUGGGGAUCAAACGGG
rnacentral:rRNA from 1 species